rnacentral:lncRNA from 1 species
UUGGCUGCACUUGGUUAUGGACUUGGCCUACCGCCUGGUGGAAGACGGCGGCAUUGAAAAGUCGGGAGGAUGUUCGUCUAGGAGCCAUGAUGCGAAUGUGGCCCUUCCAUGUGUUGUUACUGAAAUCAGUCGAGGUCGGAGAGAGAACGAUUGAACCUCACGUAGGGAUGCUGGUGCUGGAGUGACCUACAAAAUAAGUCCAAACCGAAGGUUGUGGCUCCGACGAAGACCUUCCGACAUUCAAAUCAGAUUCAGAGAACAAUGAAACAACAACGAACUC